AUUGAACGCUGGCGGCAUGCUUUACACAUGCAAGUCGAACGGCAGCACGGGAGCAAUCCUGGUGGCGAGUGGCGAACGGGUGAGUAAUACAACGGAACGUGCCCAGUAGUGGGGGAUAGCCCGGCGAAAGCCGGAUUAAUACCGCAUAUGCCCUGAGGGGGAAAGCGGGGGACCGAAAGGCCUCGCGCUAUUGGAGCGGCCGAUGGCUGAUUAGCUAGUUGGUGGGGUAAAGGCCCACCAAGGCGACGAUCAGUAGCUGGUCUGAGAGGACGACCAGCCACACUGGGACUGAGACACGGCCCAGACUCCUACGGGAGGCAGCAGUGGGGAAUUUUGGACAAUGGGCGCAAGCCUGAUCCAGCAAUGCCGCGUGUGCGAAGAAGGCCUUCGGGUUGUAAAGCACUUUUGUUUGGAAAGAAAAGGUCAGUGUUAAUACCACUGGCUGAUGACGGUACCAAUCGAAUAAGCACCGGCUAACUACGUGCCAGCCGCCGCCGUAA
rnacentral:rRNA from 1 species